UGUAAACGUCCAGAAGUGCUGCAUGCCUGCGAUGUGCUGGGUUUGCCUUCGCUCGGGGAAGUUUUAGCCGGUAUCGGACGUCUCUCUGAAUCUAUGAUCUUAAAUCAAAAUGAUCUGAUAAUUAAGAAAUAUUUUUUAACAUUUUAACAUGACAGGUACAUUGGAGUUGUUCGUUUGUGUUUCGGUGUUGCUGCUUUCCCCCUGUGCGAGAGGUGCUCCAAGGGAGAGGGUGUACUACAUCGGGAUCAUUGAGGAUUUCUGGGACUAUGCGCCAAGUGGGAAAAACCUUAUAAACGGCAAAGAGAUUGCGGAUGAUGAAGUUUCAUCGAUAUACUUGGAGCAGGGGCCUAAUCGUAUCGGCAGGAUGUAUAAGAAGGCCAUGUUCCGUCAGUACACCGACGCCUCCCACACCCUGCAGGCCCAAAGGCCCGAGUGGCUUGGCUACCUGGGGCCCGUGAUCAUGGCCGAGGUGGACGAAGUCAUUGUGGUCCACCUCAGGAACAUGGCCUCCAGGAAUUACUCCAUCCACCCCCAUGGAGUGUUCUACACAAAGGAAAACGAGGGAGCUCUGUAUCCAGACCGGACCUCGGGGCGGAUGAAGCAUGACGACUCUGUCCCCCCAGGCGGUGACUACACCUACCGCUGGGAGGUGAGACCCGAGUUCGGCCCCACGCAGAACGACGCCAACUGCCUGACCUGGGCGUACCACUCCCACGUGGCCGCCCCCAUGGACAUCGCCUCGGGCCUGGUCGGGGCCCUGCUCACCUGCAAACGAGGUGUCCUUAAGGAGCAGGUGGAGUCACAGUCGAUGGAGCUGGGACGCAACGAUGUCGACCAAAGCUUCAUUCUGAUGUUCAACGUGGUGGAUGAGUCCUCUAGCUGGUACUUUGAGGACAACAUCAAGAACUUCUGCUCGGAGCCGGACACAGUGGACCGGUCGGACGGAGACUUUGAGGAGUCCAACCUGAUGCAUGCUAUUAACGGCUACAUGUUCGGCAACAUGCCCGACAUGACGCUGUGCCAGCACCGGCCGGUUUCCUGGCAUCUGUUUGGCAUGGGUGGCGAGGCGGACCUCCACUCCGCCUAUUUCCACGGCAACACAGUGUUGGAGCGAGGUCACCGCACCGACGUCCUCAGCCUGUUCGCCGCGACGUUCAUCACGGCACAGAUGGUUCCCUUGUCUCUGGGAAGGUGGCCGCUGAGCUGCCAGGUUAACGACCACCUCAUGGCUGGGAUGCAGACCUCCUAUACGGUGAAGGGGUGUGGAGAUGCAGGGGACUCCUCACAGCCGACCGGGGUUGUGAGACAGUACUAUGUGGCCGCAGAAGAGGUCACAUGGGACUAUGGUCCGUCGGGAUUAGAUAACAUCAACAUGAUAAACCUCACAAACAGCCAGAGUCCAUCAGAGCUCUACUUCGGACGGACUGCGGGUCGGAUCGGGGGCCGGUACUUGAAAGCGGUGUUCAGGGCCUACACUGACAGUACCUUCACCAGCAGGAAGCCCUCGGACAAACACAUGGGGAUUCUGGGUCCGGUCCUGCGGGGGGAGUUGGGGGACACCAUCAGUGUGACGUUCAGGAACAAGGCCAGCAGGAAUUAUGGGAUCCAGCCUCAUGGGCUCCACAUGGACAAGCUUGGCUCUGACGGUUUGGGCGGGGCUGGAGCCGAGGUGGGACCAGGGGAGACCUUCGUCUACGCCUGGCAGCUGCUGGAAGGCCCGUCUCCAUCAGACCCGGCCUGCAUCCCUUAUCUGUACUACUCCGGCACCGACCCUAUCAAAGACACCAGCUCGGGCUUAGUGGGACCCUUACUGGUCUGCAAGCAAGGGUCCCUGGGGAGCAGUGGAGUUCAGAAAGACGUGGACAAGGAGUUUUUCCUCCUCUAUUCCGUCAUGGACGAGAACGAAAGCUGGUACAUUGAUAAAAAUACAGAAACGUACGCCACUCUGCAAAGCCCAUUGACGGAACAAGAAGAGGAUGCGGAGGCAAUAACAGAGAGCAAUAGGAUGCAUGCGGUCAACGGCUUGGUGUACGGGAACCUUGGGGGUCUGGAGUUGUGUCAGGGGGAGCAGGUGGUGUGGUACAUCUUUGGCCUGGGCACCGAGGGGGACAUCCAUGGGGUCCACUUCGAGGGCAACAACUUCCAGAGGCAGAGCACCACCCGGGACACGGCCAACGUGUUCCCCCACACCACCGCCACCCUCACCAUGCAGCCGCAGGCGCUGGGUAUAUUCGAGGUGACCUGCAGAGUGACCACCCACUACAGUGCCGGGAUGAGGCACCAGUACCAGGUGGGCCGAUGCCCGGGACAAAAUGUGACUGCUUCAGCGCCUUGGAAAGCCACCAGGGUGGUCCCGUAUUUCAUCAGCGCUGAGGAGACCGAGUGGGACUACUUCCCCGACAGUACCUGGGAGCUAGAGAACCAUCCGGUGAACAGCCCCAGCCAUAUGUAUGUGGGAAAAGCACCAGAUCGAAUCGGGCCACGCUUCAAGAAGGUGGUCUACAGGGAGUACACAGACGAGACCUUCAGCACGCCGCGGGAACAACCGCAGCACCUAGGAAUCAUGGGUCCUUUGAUCAAAGCAGAGGUGGGCGAGCAGGUCCUGGUCAUGUUUAAGAACAAGGCAAGCCGGCCCUACUCCAUCCACGCCCAAGGCAUCCAGAGGUCCUCUCGCUUCCCGGGAGCCAACCCUGUCCAACCUGGCUUCAUCACCACCUUCGAGUGGGAUUUCCCAGAGAGCUCUGGUCCAGGGCCUUCAGAUCCUAACUGCGUCACCUAUGCCUACUUCUCCCCUGUGGAUUUCGUAAAGGACAUGAACAGUGGUCUUCUGGGACCCCUGGUGGUGUGCAGGCAGGGGUCUCUGCACAGGGGCACGGCGUCUGAGAGGGAGAGGAGGGACGUGGAGAAGGAGUUCGCUCUUCUCUUCAUGGUGUUUGACGAGAACCUGUCGUGGUAUUUGGACGACAACAUCUUAACUUACCUCGACCUAGCCGCGGACUCCGGCAUUAAGGAGGUGGAAGACUUUUACGAUGGCAAUAAAAAGUAUACUAUAAACGGCCUAACGUAUGGGAACUUGCGUGGGCUGGAGAUGACGAAGGGUCAGAGGGUGGACUGGUACCUCCUAGGCAUGGGGAAGGAUGUGGACAUCCACACCGUCCACUUUCAUGCUGAGACCUUCACCUACCGGAUGGACGGUACGCACCGCGCUGACGUGUUGGACCUCUUCCCCGGGACCUUCCAGACCGUGGAGAUGGUGGUGGACAACCCCGGCACCUGGCUGCUCCACUGUCAUCUCUCCGAGCACAUCCGCAUGGGCAUGGAGACCACCUACACCAUACAAGAUGUCUUAAGGCCUACAGAUGGCUUAGGGCCUAAGGAAUCGACGGCGGUGCAAACCAAAGGCUCUGGUGUUUUAGUUUCGCUCUGUCUUCUUCUAAUGCGAUGGAUUCCGACCUGGACACAAAAUCCUUAACUCUUUAACACUGUGUGGCCCAUGUUCUGACAAAGAGCUAGUGAAUCAAAAAUGUGCGAUACACUUUUAGAAUACAUAGAAGACAUUUAUGGUAUCGAGUUCGUACCUGAUUAAGUAAUCGAUAAGAUAACCUUUAUUAUUGUUUAAGUUUCGUAGCAUUCGAAUGAUAUUUGUCGCCAUCUAGUGGAUGCUUGGAGUAAAUCUAGGACAAGUUGGACAAAUAGAUUGUAGGCCCAUAUGUAACGAAGAAACAGACGGAUUUGAAGAGAAAUUGAAAUAAAUAGAUUUGAAAAAAAAGUUGUCUGCGAAACUAAAUUUGAAAAACAAAUGGGAAGCUAAAACAGGACAAUUGUGAACAUCUUGGAAGUUCCCCCUACAGCAGGGGGCAAGACCCAACACAGGGAAAAACAAGAGGGACGGCCACAGAAAAAUGGAAAGAGGGACAGCAUCUGGUUUAAGCUGCUUUACCUGGCCCGAGUCAGACUGAUUGGACUCUGGAGCUGGGUGAGGCUGAACACCUGUUGCACUUUAAGCCAUCAUUGGUACAGGUUAAACCAGCCAUCACCAGACACACUCAGUGAGAUCUCCUGCAUGGUAGCAUGGAGCACCAGGCCAUGUAUCGUAAUCUGAAAGCCAUACAAUGAACCAACAUCCAACACCAAUGCAUUGGUAGAUACGGUUAGCAACAUCACUCCUGUUUUCUUCUUUAGAAAUAUGUUCAUUUUAAGAAGUGAAUGGUUAGUUAUUUGUUUGUACAUGUUAUAAUCAUUGUUAUUAUAUAUUGUAUGAUUAUAUACUGCCUCUUCAUAACAUAUUGCAUAUUUGAAUAAGAGUGAGUGAUUGAAUACGGAAGCACUGUUUUUUUUUAUACACAGUACAAUACAUUUAUUUAUAAAAAAAAAAAAGAUUGUAGAAAUUCUGCUUCGCAAAGAAUGUAUUUACAGUUGAAGGCAGUGUUUUGAGGUUGCAAAUGGGAAUACAAUAAGAGAUUGGUGGAUAUUGUGUCCUUAUAUGUUCUAUAAAUAAAAUGUUAAAUAUCUAA